GACAGAGGGUGCGAACGUUGUUCGGAAUUACUGGGCGUAAAGCGCGUGUAGGCGGCAACGCAAGUCGGGCGUGAAAUCCCACGGCUCAACCGUGGAAGUGCACUCGAAACUGCGUAGCUAGAGUCCUGGAGAGGAAGGUGGAAUGCUUGGUGUAGAGGUGAAAUUCGUAGAUAUCAAGCGGAACACCGGUGGCGAAGGCGGGUCUCUGGACAGUUCCUGACGCUGAGGCACGAAGGCCAGGGGAGCAAACGGG
rnacentral:rRNA from 1 species